UCAUCGCCCCUUCCCACUGCUCCAUAGGAGCCCACUGCUGUAGCAGGCGGGCCCACCAGAGCCCUUCUGGCUGCAGAAUAUUGAGGGGGGUCUGACCCCCUCAUUGAACAAUUUGUGGGUGCAUGGGCAUAUGCCUAUCCGCAUAUAAGACGAGCAUCGUCUUAUACAUGGAAAAAUACGGUACCUUCUGUUUAAAUACUUUUUAGCUUUCCAAACCAUUUUACAGAUUUUAAAUGACAGUACCCCACCCUACUUAUGCUCGUCUACGAUGGUAAUAAAAAAAGAUUGCUUGAAGUGGAUAACUCUUGUAGAAAAAUGACUUAAAUCCUUCUGGGAUUUAAGACUAUUACAACAUUUUCUAGGCCUUCUGAUUCUCUUUCCACCUAGGUCCACUCAUUGCUACAAAGGAUCUCAUUCAACAACAGUGCUGAGGAUGAAAUCACAUUAAAUGAACAUGGAGAAAUAGCAGCUGGCUUUGAUAUUGCAAACCUGGUCACUUUCCCAAAUAAUUCCUACGUCAGGGUCAAAGUCGGAAAGCUGGAUCCUCAGGCCCCUCCUGGCAAAGAACUCAUCAUUAAUGGGAACGGAAUCCAAUGGCACAGAGUCUUCACUCAGGUAAGGAAAUCACUGUGGGGGGAGGUGCUGCCCAACUGCUGCUGCCACUAGUAAUAAUGCUGCUACUAAUAAUUUUAUUAAUAACAAAUGAACCACAUAAUCAAAAAGAGCAAUAUGCACAGAAGACAUGUCACACCAAGAAGGACCAAUGGCUAUCAGACAGUGUUGUCCAACAUGCUUGUUGGUCCAAGGCGGUUUUCCAGUUAUCAUAGAAUCAUAGAAUCAUAGAAUCAUAGAAUCAUAGAAUCAUAGAGUUGGAAGAGACCACAAGGGCCAUCGAGUCCAACCCCCUGCCAAGCAGGAAACACCAUCAGAGCACUUCUGACAUAUGGUUGUCAAGCCUCUGCAGUGGCACUAUUACUUCCCUUGAUCUAGAUGCUAUACUCCUAUUGAUGCAGCCCAGAAUUGCAUUGGCUUUUUUAGCUGCCGCGUCACACUGUUGGCUCAUGUCAAGUUUGUGGUCAACCAAGACUCCUAGAUCCUUUUCACAUGUACUGCUCUCAAGCCAGGUGUCCCCCAUCUUGUAUUUGUGCUUCUCAUUUUGUUUUGCCCAAGUGCAAUACUUUACAUUUCUCCCUGUUAAAAUUCAUCUUGUUUGUUUUGGCCCAGUUCUCUAAUCUGUCAAGGUCGUUUUGAAGUGUGAUCCUGUCCUCUGGGGUGUUAGCCACCCCUCCCAAUUUGGUGUCAUCUGCAAAUUUGAUCAGGAUGCCCUUGAGUCCAUCAUCCAAGUCGUUGAUAAAGAUGUUGAAUAAGACCGGGCCCAAGACAGAACCCUGUGGCACCCCACUAGUCACUCUUCUCCAGGAUGAAGAGGAACCAUUGAUGAACACCCUUUGGGUUCGGUCAGUCAGCCAGUUACAAAUCCACUGAGUGGUAGCAUAGUCAAGACCACAUUUUACCAGCUUCUUUACAAGAAUAUCAUGAGGCACCUUGUCAAAUGCCUUGCUGAAAUCAAGGUAGGCUACAUCCACUGCGUUCCCUUCAUCUAUCAGGCUUGUAAUUCUGUCAAAAAACGAGAUCAGGUUAGUCUGACAUGACUUAUUUUUCAGAAAUCCAUGCUGACUAUUGGUGAUCACAGCAUUCCUUUCUAGGUGCUCACAGACUGUUUGCUUAAUGAUCUGCUCCAGAAUCUUCCCUGGUAUUGAUGUCAGACUGACUGGGCGGUAAUUAUUUGGGUCCUCUCUUUUCCCCUUUUUGAAAAUAGGGACAACAUUUGCCCUCCUCCAGUCUGCCGGGACUUUGCCUGUUCUCCAGGAAUUCUCAAAGAUGACUGCCAGUGGUUCUGAGAUCACAUCUGCCAGUUCUUUUAAUACUCUUGGAUGCAGUUCAUCUGGCCCUGGAGACUUGAAUACAUCUAAACUAGCCAAGUAUUCUUGUACUAUCUCCUUAGUUAUUCUGGGCUGUGUUUCCUUUGCUGAAUCAUUUGCUCCAAAUUCUUCAGGUCGGGCAUUGUUUUCUUUAUCGGAGAAGACUGAGGCAAAGAAGGCAUUGAGGAGUUCAGCCCUUCCUGUGUCCCCUGUUUGCAUUUCACCAUCUUCUCCUCUGAGUGACCCCACUGUUUCUUUGUUCUUCCUUUUGCUACGGACAUACCCAUAAAAGCCUUUUUUGUUGCUUUUAACCUCUCUAGCAAGCCUGAGUUCAUUCUGUGCUUUAGCUUUUCUGACUUUGUGUCUACACGUGCUGGCUAUUUGUUUGAAUUCCUCUUUGGUGGUUUUCCCCUUUUUCCAUUUUUUGUACACAUCCUUUUUUAAUCUUAACUCAGUUAAAAGUUCUUUAGAUAGCCACCCUGGCUUCUUUAGGCACCUUCCAUGUUUCCGUCUCAUUGGUAUUGCCUGACGUUGUGCUUUUAGUAUCUCCCUCUUAACAAACUCCCAGCCAUCAUGAACUCCCUUUCCUUUUAGUCUUACUGUCCAUGGGAUCUCACCCUGUUAGUAGCAUUAGAUAGAUUGCUAACAUUGUAAUCUUCUGCUGCCUCUUGUAACUCUAGUGUCGAGUUGGAAUGCUAGAAGCCGGGAUGUACAUAAUUGUGUGUCAGGUUGGCUUCUGCCACAGGCCCAGGCCCAGGGGGAGCCCCCCAAAUCAUGCCUUGCUCGGAGUGGUUACUAGCCCGGCUGCUAGUAACUCCAUAUACUCCAUCAGCUGUGGACAAGGCAUGCAGGCUCCUCUCAAUGCCUCAUGUUUCUGAUUUAUUCAAUCCAAGGCCUGUCAGCACUAGUUGCCUACAAAAUCAUAUAUUUUUAAAAAAGGUCAUUGGAAAAAUGUUGGAAAUAUUUCUUUUUGAAAAAGUCGCAACUUAUUUUAUGUACACAUUUUAUUGUAGUUCCCUGCUUUUUAUGAAGUUGGUUUUCUAAAACCAGUCCACCACAACCCCAAUACAUCUUCCAUCAGUGUACCUACAUUUUCUGUGCACCAUUUUCGCUGCCUCUCUUUUUUCCAAUGGUAUAAGUGAUAGGGCUGUCCAAAUAAGAGCAAAACCACAGUAAUUCACUACCUCCAAAUCCCAACUCCUUGAAGCCCACUAAGGGGACAUCAAGUGAAAUUACAGCAGCAAAGAGCAGGAGGCUGUAGUACCAUAAAAAGAAAUAACCAGUAGUGUAUUAGAUCAAAUUAUCUGAUGGUUGUAGCAAUGGUCAAUCUAGAUAUGAACAUUGUAAUCUUCUUGUGUUUGUAUGAUGCUUAGAACUGUAACUUUUUCUCCCACUGUGUAUGUGCUGCUUUGGCACAUAGAAAACCUAUAGCUAACAUUUCUGGCCCUCCUACUUACUGGUAGAUCACCUGAUGUUACAUGAAUCCCCUAAAAUAUUGUCUUAAUAUUAACCUCUUUGUGUCUCUUUGGAUAGGUGCCACCCCUUUCAUUAUGUAAUGCCAACUGCCUUCCCGGUUAUGAGAAGAAAAAGAAGGAGGGGAAGAAGUUCUGUUGUUAUGAUUGUGAUCCAUGUCCUCGUGGGAUGUUCUCAAAUGAGAAGGGUGAGAGAUGCCAUAUCACCAUAUACAAGCUAUUAUAGUAAAUUCUGAGCAAAUUAGCAAUGAGGUUUGCUCUGUAUGGUCUCAAUUUAUAUUGUUUAUUAACAAUACAGUGGUACCUUGGGUUACAUACGCUUCAGGUUACAUACGCUUCAGGUUACAGACUCCGCUAACCCAGAAAUAGUACCUUGGGUUAAGAACUUUGCUUCAGGAUGAGAACAGAAAUUGUGCUCCAGCGGCGUGGCAGCAGCAGCAGGAGGCCUCAUUAGCUAAAGUGGUGCUUCAGGUUAAGAACAGUUUCAGGUUAAGAACGGACCUCCGGAACAAAUUAAGUACUUAACCCGAGGUACCACUGGAGUAGAAUAAUCUCCCUUCUGUCUGUGUAAAAGCUGCCACUAUGAAGAAAUUAUCUUAACCUUCAAGAGAGUAUACCAUGAGGAUGUGACCGUAAUCUGUAAUGUAAAGAUUUUCCAUCAGUGUACCUACAUACAUUGAUAUUCUAAACAUUACAAGUAAAGGUAAAGGGACCCCUGACCAUUAGGUCCGGUCGUGGCCGACUCUGGGGUUGCGGCGCUCAUCUCACUUUAUUGGCCGAGGGAGCCGGCGUACAGCUUCAGGGUCAUGUGUCCAGCAUGACUCUGGCGAACCAGAGCAGCGCAUGGAAACGCCCUUUACCUUCCCGCCGGAGCGGUACCUAUUUAUCUACUUGCACUUUGACGUGCUUUCGAACUGCUAGGUUGGCAGGAGCAGGGAACGAGCAACAGGAGCUCACCCCGUCACGGGGAUUCGAACCGCCGACGUUCUGCUUGGCAAGUCCUAAGCUCUGUGGUUUAACCCACAGCGCCACCCGCGUCCCAUUCUAAACAUUACUGCAUACAAUAUUCUCUAAUUUUUAAAAAAAUAUAUAUUAUUAUUAAAGUUUUCUUGGUUUACAAAGGUAUAUGCAGUGUCUCUUUUUUUCAAGUUACAUUUUCCAUAGGUCAGUUCAUUUGUUGAGACAUUAGGGUUACAUUAGGAAGAGAAAAGGGGGGAAGAGGUGGAGGGGGCCAUGGUGCGUGGGGGUGGGGUCGGGAGGCGAUAUUUCUAUUUUGCUUAAUGUAUGUGUGGGGUUUUGUGUCAGCGUAGAUUGUGCAGGUGCUCUUUGCUAUUCGCAUGUGUUCCUUUGGUGGUGAGAUAGAUUGGGGUUGGCCUAGGUGCAGUUGCUUGCUUGUGGUUGCUUGUGGUGAACUUUGUUUUCGUGUGUGAAUGGGGGUAGAUGGGUGUUUUGGAUCAGGUAACCAUAUUGAUUCAUAUGCUGUUGGUGGAUUCUUGUCAUUGUCUUGUUGGGCUGUGUAUGUGAUAAAGGGGAGCCAUACCGGAGUGAAGGUAUCUUCUUCUAUUUGUCAUCGUGUCACUUUCAGUUUAUUGGUUAAUUUUUCAAGUAGCGCUGUUUCCCAUACUAUUUGGUACAAUUGGUCCAUGCUUACUCCUGACAGGUCUUUCCAGUGUCUGACUAUGAUGUUUGUGGUUGCUGAGAGUAGGUGGGUUAUGAGUUCUUUGUGAUGUGAGUGGGCAUUGUUGUCUUGGAAUAUGAUUAGUAGGGCCAGUUCUGGGGUGAUUUCUAAUACUUGCUUAGUUAUUUUACAUUUCUUGUGUUACUAUUGUCCAGAAUAGUUGGUUUUGGGGCAUUCCCACCGCAUCUGUAGGUAUGUGCCUGUGGAGGUGCACCCUCUCCAGCAUUUUGCUGAGGUUCCUGGGUGUAUUAGCGCUAGUUUCCUUGUUGUUAGGUAAUAUUCUCUAAUGUUUAAUGCAGUUUCUCAUUGAUGGUGGCUCACUGCUGUGCUGCCACAUUUUAAUAACACAUUUUAAUGAUAUACACCAUGAGUGUAGAUCCGCCCCUCUGUUUUGAUGCAAAAAGACAUAAAAAUUGUACAUGCAUUCUGCCCUGGAAGAAACCAAGGUUUUGGGGGAGGCAGGAUGGAAAAGAAUUGGGGUCUUUAUUCUAAGAACAAGGUUCCUUGGGAACUUUAUCUUCAAAGCUUCUAGGGCACAAGCAUUUCGACUAGAAGUUUUGAAACUUAUCCUCGUGGAAACACUAUGGUAAGGGAACUCAUGAUUUUAAAAAAAAACUCUUAAGCAUAUACUGGAUUGUUUCCAAUUGUCAUACCACCUUUUUCAGGAUUGGAAACCUGUGCAAGAUGUCCUCCAGAGCAAUAUCCAAAUGAAGAGCAGAAUCAGUGCAUUCCCAAGAAAACACACGUCCUAGGCUUUGGGGAAACUUUGGCCAUUGUUUCAACUUUCUCUGCACUUUUAUUCUCUCUAAUCACAGCAAUGGUACUUGGCAUUUUCAUUAAGCACCGGGACACUGCCAUCGUCAAAGCCAACAACAGAAGCC